GUGCCUUGAGGCGUGGCUUCCGGAGCUAACGCGUUAAGUCGACCGCCUGGGGAGUACGGCCGCAAGGUUAAAACUCAAAUGAAUUGACGGGGGCCCGCACAAGCGGUGGAGCAUGUGGUUUAAUUCGAUGCAACGCGAAGAACCUUACCUACUCUUGACAUCCAGAGAAUUCGCUAGAGAUAGCUUAGUGCCUUCGGGAACUCUGAGACAGGUGCUGCAUGGCUGUCGUCAGCUCGUGUUGUGAAAUGUUGGGUUAAGUCCCGCAACGAGCGCAACCCUUAUCCUUUGUUGCCAGCACGUAAUGGUGGGAACUCAAAGGAGACUGCCGGUGAUAAACCGGAGGAAGGUGGGGAUGACGUCAAGUCAUCAUGGCCCUUACGAGUAGGGCUACACACGUGCUACAAUGGCGUAUACAAAGAGAAGCGAACUCGCGAGAGCCAGCGGACCUCAUAAAGUACGUCGUAGUCCGGAUCGGAGUCUGCAACUCGACUCCGUGAAGUCGGAAUCGCUAGUAAUCGUAGAUCAGAAUGCUACGGUGAAUACGUUCCCGGGCCUUGCACCAC
rnacentral:rRNA from 1 species